UGCGCAGGCGGAAUAAUAAGUCAGUGGUGAAAUCUCCCGGCUCAACCGGGAAACUGCCAUUGAUACUGUUGUUCUUGAGUACAGUUGAAGUGGGCGGAAUGUGUCAUGUAGCGGUGAAAUGCUUAGAUAUGACACAGAACACCGAUAGCGAAGGCAGCUCACUAAGCUGUAACUGACGCUCAUGCACGAGAGCGUGGGGAUCAAACAGGAUUAGAUACCCUGGUAGUCC
rnacentral:rRNA from 1 species